rnacentral:misc_RNA from 1 species
GUGGAACAAAUGUGUUUUCAUUUGUUGGUAGUGGUGAUUCUCUUCACCUUUUGUCAUGAUGACUAGAGUGGUUUCUCUACCCUAAAAGACUGCUUUCCUGACUUGCUUGUAUCAGCAAAAGAGGGAUGCUUUGAGAUUGAUGUCCUUGUUUGCAAUUACCUUUAAGAAGGUUGAUUUGUGAUUGCACCAAUUGUGAAGAAAACCUAAGAUGGGUAGGUUGUCAUCUUUUCUACUUGAUCUUUCGUAGGAGAUAAUGAUGGUCAGGUAAAGCAGAGAGAAUUUAGAUUGCUUCAACUUGAAAUGCUAAUAUAGGAUCAUUGUUGGAGAGACUGUGCAAGGGAACUAGAGAGAAUCAUAGGAUGAUGCUUGCACCAUCCAAAGAUACUGUUUUGCCAAUAACCUAAAGGGAAAGGAUUUUGACAAUCUACAAUUUUGAAAUGGGGGAGAAAAACCUUGGAAAAGCAAAUUCUGAAACAGAUAUCAAUCUACUAGAAUGUGGGUGGAGUAAAAGCAAUAGAAACUGGCUUUUUUUUUUUUCAGUUGAAGAAGCUGUCAAGCAGUUGCAGGCUCAAUACUGAGGAAGAGAUUUGUGUCUGGAAUUUAACCAAAGUAAUUGUUACAAUGGACAGUUUUCCAGUGAUACUAAUAAUGAUGUAAAUUUGGUUGAUUCUAUCUUGUAAAUAAUUUACUUUUGUAUUCAACCCUUGAUCCCUUAUACAGUUAUUUUUAUCCAAAAAAAACUGUAUA